UGGAAAAAAUGAGGCGAGAAGAGACGGAUUUGCAAAAGCAGGCCAGGGUUUCUGUAUCCUCCUCUGCUGCAAGCGGUCAGAUCUAGUUUUCCUUUCCCGCAUCGAAGGCUCGCCAGCAUUUUAAGAAGGGCCUUAAUGACCCCACGCACUCCGUGGCUCCCUGGCAUUCUUCGUGCACUUACAUCUGUGGCUAAUGCGUUUUCUUCGCAGGAAGGGAAGAAAAUGAGAUAGCAGUAACAACUGGCAACCAUAUGUUCAUCUGAUGUAUUUGCAAAUAUUUAAGUUCUAGGCUUCCUCAGGAAAUCUGGAAAGUAUUGGCACUGAUUAGGAAAGCCUUUUUUAUUAUAAUACAUCCAUCACUGUAUGGGAAAGCAGGAAAGGAUCUGCCAAUGAAACGAAAUAGUUUUCUGGAAAUAAAUAACAUCUACAGACAAUUGAAACUAUUGACUAUAGAAUGACGCAGUUGUUUCAAGGUGACCAUAUCAGAGGAUGUCAGCCAGGAACAUGGAGUGGGUCCUAUGUGUCAACAGAAUUUCCUGGAUGUAGUAAGAAACUAAAAAGAGAUUCACCCAGGCUGGAGGAGAGAUUUAUCUAUGGAUUUCAAAGCAGUAGAGACCAGGGCCUUACUUUAUGGCUAUGUCUAGGAGGACUGGACAGAGUUCCUAUUUGGAGAAGAUUCCUGUUUUUCCCCAAGAGCCAUAUGGAGCAGAAGAAAAUAGCUCCGCUGAAGUCCAUGAGAUACAGCAGAGUUUGCCAACACUAUUGGUUCCAUAGGUAAUCUGGAAUGGAGGCAUGGAGGUGGAAGUUCUGGACUCUUCUUCUCAAUGUCUAGCUAACCUGGUCAGAGGCUUGCCAGAAGGGGCCCCGAUAAAAGGAAGCUACACCCAAGAUAUGAGACAAGAAUAUGGGACAGUUAGCUUUGAUCUCUGAAUGUGUUGUGUAUUGGUUUCAGUGCCCAUCUCAUAGAAAUAAAAUACUGCUUUAUUCUGCAU
rnacentral:lncRNA from 1 species